UACGUAGGUGGCAAGCGUUGUCCGGAUUUACUGGGCGUAAAGAGCGCGCAGGCGGUCGUACAAGUCGCGUGUGAAAGCCCCCGGCUCAACUGGGGAGGGUCACGCGAUACUGUUCGACUCGAAGGCAGGAGAGGGAAGUGGAAUUCCUGGUGUAGUGGUGAAAUGCGUAGAUAUCGGGAGGAACACCAGUGGCGAAGGCGGACUUCCUGGCCUGUUCUUGACGCUGAGGCGCGAAAGCUAGGGUAGCAAACGGGAUAGAAACCCUGGUA
rnacentral:rRNA from 1 species